GAUAAAAAAACACAACAAGAACAAGGGAGUACCAGGUGUAAGCAGAAUUUUGGCAUGAGCAAGUGUAGUUGUCCGUAAAACAAGGAGAAAACAUCAAGAAUCGACUUACAGCAAGGUGGCAAUCAAUGUGGUGAAACAAAGCUAGUCAGUGGAGAGGAGUCAAGUUGCUGUCGGAAGCUGAAGAUGGUCAGUGCAGCACAACCACUUCACAGAGCCAUGCCAGGACCAUCUAUCUGAUGUUAAAGUACACAUCCAAUUUUCUAAGUUAUUAUAUAUCAUUUAUAUCUUCGGUAAUUGCUGCUAAAAUUACUAAAGUUUUGAGCAGAAAAUAAGAAGCAUGGAGAUAUCUCGUUGAUGAUGUAUUGUACAUUACAUCUAUGUUGCAUUACUUGCUUGUACAGCAGCAGUACAUGUCAGGGGUGCAUUGGGUUUCAGCAUUAAUAAACCAAUAAAUGCUGUAUAACUAGA